rnacentral:lncRNA from 9 species
CAGAAAAUUUAAUGAGCUUUUAAUGGAAUGCAAUGCUCAGAGUAGUAAAUUAUUUGUUAGUUGACGAUGCAAUCAGCAUGCUGAUUAAGGUUGCUUGGUUUUUUACUAAACAUUAACUGAAUGAAAACGGGUAGUCCUUGUUCUGCUUGGGGGGCUUUAAGGAAGCAAAUGGACUUUCAGAACAGAGAUUGUCAAUAAAGGUGUUGUGCCAUGUUAAAGACCCUCUUGUCAUUUUUAUUAUUCAUGGAUGGACGCUAAUUCUACAAGUCAGUUUAAGUGCUAUGGAGUCCCAUUUGCACCUGGAAUGCUGGGAACAGGGGAUGGAGCAGCAAGAAGCAAUUGAAAGGAUUAGGAUGGAACCUUCCUCAAGCUUCACAGGCUUGUCUGCUGGCCACAGACACCAUUAUGUACACAGGAAAAUCAGAUCAUUAUCUAAGGCCAACAAGCUCCUCCUUGAGAUGUUCUGCCAUAUAAUCUGGAGGAAAUACUGUAAGACUUUGUCAGCACUGAGUCAUUUGCACUGGGAGUCUUACCAGAAAAAAAAAAUCUUGUCUUCUCAGAAGGAAUACCCUUCCUGA